rnacentral:lncRNA from 1 species
GAACUGAGCAAGAGUAAUGAGGAGUUGCUUAAAGGUUAGCAAAGGUAUUCUCUAAUUCCCAGUACCCUUGACUCCUAGCCCAUGACUCACAACAGCCUAACUCACAGCCCCUGACUCAGAGCCCGCCUGACUCACAGCUCCCCUUGACUCACGGCCCCCAACUCACAUACUCCAGACUCACAGCCCCUCUGAUUCCCAGACUGUAUUCUGUCUGUUUAAUGGACCCUCCCUGGGCUCAGUUCUGUGUGGGCUUCAAGUAAAUACCACCUGCUUCUCAGCUGCGGCUGGCGCAAAUAGCAUAUAUGGAAGGGGAUCUGAAUAGCUUUCCUGUCCCCGAGUGGAGGAAAAUUGCAGCUCUCUCCAUGGUGAACGGAGAUGACAGAGAAUCACUGGGAAGUCUCAGGGACUGUCUGCCAUGCGUGUUGAGGAUGGAACACAAGGCCUUGUAUGUGCUGCGCAAGAAUUCUAGGGACGGAGCUGCAUCACCAGCUUCAUUAACAACACUUUUACACUUGGUUCCUGC